GAUGAACGCUGGCGGCGUGCCUAACACAUGCAAGUCGAACGGGAGGGCGGACGGGUAAGUAACACGUGGGCAACCUGGAUCAUAGAGGGGGAUAACAGAGCGAAAUUUCUGCUAAUACCGCAUACUAUGAGAUGGACCCGCGUCUGAUUAGCCAGUUGGAAGGGUAAGAGCCUACCAAAGAGACGAUGAGUAGCCGAUCGGAGAGGAUGAACGGCCACAUGUGGACUGAGACACGUCCCAAACUCCUACGGGUGGCAGCAGGGGGUGUUAUUGCACAAUGGGGGGAACCCUGAGGCAGCGACGCCGCGUGAGUGAAGAAGUAGUUCGGUAUGUAAAGCUCUAUCAGCAGGGAAGCAGUACCUGAAUAAGAAGCCCCGGCUAACUACGUGCCAGCAGCCGCGGUAAUAC
rnacentral:rRNA from 1 species